ACAGAAGUCUGAACUUUUCUCCUUUGAGUUGGCUUCUCAUAAACUUUAGGGAAAUUAUUUGUACCAUUAUUGGGUGAACCUUUGUAAACUAUACUUGUGAAUAAAGGUUAAAAAAAUGUUGCUACCUUA
rnacentral:snoRNA from 1 species